UUGAACAAACAGAUGUCAGUUGACUUAGUCCAUCAGUUCACCUUUGGUGUGGGUGUGUGUCAGUAGAGGAUAAAAGUCCAACUUCAUUCUUAAUGUUAUUCACUUUUUGCCACUUGUUGAGUUGCAUUGACAGAAGACCAGAACCAUGAAGGUGUACUUGCUGCUACUGCUUCUGCUGCCACUUUGCACAGCUCAGAAAUUUACCAUUCAGUGUUAUGGUGAAGAUUUCCUGAUGGUCAACAACAUGCUGCUAGAUUGCAGCGGCCCAGUUCAACAAGCAUGCUACACCAGAGAUAACGGAGAAAAGGGUUGCACUAGUAAGGUCAACUGCUCUAAACCUGGAUGGACCUGUUGCCACACCGACCGCUGCAACGCUUGAGCCAAUCACAAUGCAGGGAUUACUGCCAUCAUUGAAAAACAUGUUGUGAAAUAGAGCGAGGGAAAUAUCCUCUUAGUGCUGUUUCUGUGACCUUAAUAAAGCAGUAACCUCAUUA